rnacentral:rRNA from 1 species
UACGGGGUGCAGCAGGCGCGAAAACUUUGCAAUACACGAAAGUGUGACAGGGUCAUCCCGAGUGCCGACCGCUGAGGUUGGCUUUUACCCAGUCUAGAAAGCUGGGGGAAUAAGGAGAGGGCAAGUCUGGUGUCAGCCGCCGCGGUAAUACCAGCUCUCCGAGUGGUGUGGACGUUUAUUGGGCCUAAAGCAUCCGUAGCUGGCUGAACAAGUCCCCUGUUAAACCCACCGAUUUAAUCGUUGGCGUGCGGGGGAUACUGCUCGGCUAGGGGACGAGAGAGGCAGACGGUAUUCCCGGGGUAGGGGUGAAAUCCUAUAAUCCCGAGAAGACCACCAGUGGCGAAGGCUGUCUGCUAGAACGCGCCCGACGGUGAGGGAUGAAAGCUGGGGGAGCGAACCGGAUUAGAUACCCGGGUAGUCCCAGCUGUAAACGAUGCAGACUAGGUGUUUGGACGGCCACGUGCCGUUCUAGUGCCGCAGGGAAGCUGUUAAGUCUGCCGCCUGGGGAGUACGAUCGCAAGAUUGAAACUUAAAGGAAUUGGCGGGGGAGCAC